AGACUAUUUUUGGUUGAUUAUUCUACCGAAAGGAGCAAUAAAACCGGAAAAUGUAAAAUCGAGGUGUUGUACUUUGUGGGACUCGUUCUUUUGAUCUCAUCAUUGGACCUAUUGUUUGAUACUUGCAUAUGAUGAAGAAAUCCUUCCACUAGUGGAAUAGCAUAGUUUAAUGAUUCUAGUUGUUUAUAAUCAUGCUAAAAUCAAUUUAAAGAUGCAGAAGGUAGAGAGAGGUCAUCAUUAACUUCCACCAGUAGUUCAGCUUCUUCCUUGUUUUAUGAGAUGCAAGAGAGGCUGGAGAACACUGCACAAAAGAGAAAAA